UUGAGCGGUUACGAGGCCGUCCACGAUGGUUGCAGUUUUGGUCCUUGUUACGGGACACUGGGGGCGAGUGACUCCUCAGUUGUAGCGGGGCCACUCUCAACCUGCUCUCUGUCCUGGGGUCCAAGGACAAGAAGUACAUCAAUGGGGUCAGUGCUUUCAGGCUUCUGAGCUUGGUUAGUGGGAGGAAGCACAGACAGGAAAUGCAGGAUGAGAAGAGAAUGAGGACACCCAUCACCUCUACAUGAAUCAAAGUUGAUCUUGGUUUACACUGGACUCUCUUUCCUGCUGCAGUAGUUAGGAACUGAGGCUAUGAAAAUGGAUUCCAGGAUUAGCCCUAAAAAGCAAAUUCUCAAGGUAGAAUUUUGGAGUUGUAUUGUCUACUUGACUAUAGGCAAUAGAGACCAC